rnacentral:rRNA from 1 species
GUUGCAGUUAAAAAGCUCGUAGUUGGAUUUCGGAACCGGCCGAUUGGUCCGUCCUCUGGAUCGUGUACUGAUCGGUCUGUUCUUCUUCGCGAAGACCGCGUGUGCUCUUAACUGAGUGGGCGUGGGAUUCGCGACGUUUACUUUGAAAAAAUUAGAGUGUUCAAAGCAGGCAGUCGCUUGAAUAUCUCAGCAUGGAAUAAUAGAAUAGGACUUUGGUCUUAUUUUGUUGGUUUCCGAGACCGAAGUAAUGAUUAAUAGGGACAGUUGGGGGCAUUCGUAUUUCAUUGUCAGAGGUGAAAUUCUUGGAUUUAUGAAAGACGAACUUCUGCGAAAGCAUUUGCCAAGGAUGUUUUCAUUAAUCAAGAACGAAAGUUGGAGGCUCGAAGACGAUCAGAUACCGUCCUAGUUCCAACCAUAAACGAUGCCGUCUGCGGAUCGGAGGUCGCUCAUGUAAGGCUCCUUCGGCACGCUAUGAGAAAUCAAAGACUUCGGGUUCCGGGGGGAGUAUGUUCGCAAGAAUGAAACUUAAAGGAAUUGACGGAAGGGCACCACCAGGAGUGGAACCUGCGGUUUAAUUUGACUCAACACGGGAAAACUCACCAGGUCCAGACAUAGGAAAGAUUGACAGAUUGAGAGCUCUUUCUUGAUUC